GUCCACGCCCUAAACGAUGCUUACUCGACGUAUGAAGCUAGACUUUGUGCGUCCAAGGGAAACCGUUAAGUAAGCCACCUGGGGAGUACGACCGCAAGGUUGAAACUCAAAGGAAUUGACGGGGGUCGCACAAGCGGUGGAGCAUGUGGUUUAAUUCGAUGAUACGCGAGGAACCUUACCUGGGCUAGAAUGCGAGUGACGGAUCGGGAAACCGGUCUUUUCUUCGGAACACAAAGCAAGGUGCUGCAUGGCUGUCGU
rnacentral:rRNA from 1 species